rnacentral:rRNA from 1 species
UACGGGGGGGGCAAGCGUUGUUCGGAAUUACUGGGCGUAAAGGGCUCGUAGGCGGUUUGUCGCGUCGGGAGUGAAAACGCCGUGCUUAACACGGCGCUUGCUUUCGAUACGGGCAGACUAGAGGUAUGCAGGGGAGAACGGAAUUCCUGGUGUAGCGGUGAAAUGCGCAGAUAUCAGGAGGAACACCGGUGGCGAAGGCGGUUCUCUGGGCAUUUCCUGACGCUGAGGCGCGAAAGCGUGGGGAGCAAACGGG